rnacentral:lncRNA from 1 species
AUCCUGCGGCCGAACUUGGCAGUAAGAACACGUGUCGGUACCGGAGCGGUGGGGAGCAGUGGCGAGCAGGGCGGUCCUCGCAACCCGCCGGGGCUCUGGGAAGCUGGAGACCAACGCGGGCGGAGGAGCACGAGCCUGUUUGUUGCUAGAAAGGGGCUCCAAGUCCGCUGCAUGUUCGUGGCCUUCUUAAUUUCUUUUUCUGCUCGAGCAAAUAAAAGUUUCAUUUCUCUCCGGAGUAUUGAGCUAGAGAGCGGGGAAGAGCAUGCAGUAAAGUGAAUCCAGACUAGAAUCUGGGGAAGCCUCUCUCCAAGGUUGCAUCUCGGAGAAACAAGCCAUCAGAUUCUUGUCUAAACUUUGCCUCGUCUUAUUUAGUUUUCUAGUGAUUUUCUGCAAAAGGAAAUACCAGAUAGGCAAUCUAGUGGUUUACAUAGAUCUGAAUAAAAGCUUGAGGUUUUCCCUCUUGACCACUUUGGAGAAGAAAACUAGGUUAAGAUGACGAUUUUUGUAUGUCAGAAAAGAAGCCUGUAAUGUGCAUUAAGUUUGAGACUUUUUUUUAACACCUGGGAGUUUGAGAAGGCAAAUAGGGAAAAGAAAAAAAAUAGAAACUCAAGUUCAGGAAUAUUUUCUCGUGUGUGCAGAUUAUUACGUGAGGAAGAAAAAAGGGAUAACUCACAGACCUUAGCAAUUAAAAAUACUUAAUUUUUUUGUUGAAUGCCUAUUAAUCUGAUGGUUCCUGGUCAAUUUUGUAGGGCAGAACAUUAUGCAACUGUACACACUGAUUUAUUAGAGUGCUAUGAAUGUGGGCCACCAGACAGUUCGGUAUCAUGUUAUUUUAUUUUUUGAGACAAGAGUCUUGCUCUGUCACCCAAGCUGGAAUGCAGUGGCGCCAUCUCCUCUCACUGCAACCUCCGCCUCCUGGGUUCAAGUGAUUCUACUGUCUCAGCCUCCCGGGUAGGUGGGACCACAGGCGCCCGCCACCACUCCCUGCUAAUUUUUAUAUUUUUAGUAGAGACAGGGUUUCACCACGUUGGCCUGGCUGGUCUCAAACUCCUGACCGACCUCAAGUGAUCCACCCACCUCGGCCUCCCAAAGUGCUGGGAUUACAGGUGUGAGCCACCGUGCCCAGCCUUAAUAUCAUGUUAAAGAUAGACCUGUUCUUCAAAAAGACAAGUCAGAGUUCUCAUCUUUCUUCUUGUUUCCUAUGACACUGUUAAACUGAGAGGAAUGAGGACCCCAUUUGCUCAGUGGUGGGAGAAACACAAUUUCACUGGCCUUUUGUUGAUACAAAGAUAGGAAGAAGGCUCUUGAAGUGCUGUCUGUAUAUGUGUAUAAACACACAUAUAUCUUGUGACAUUAAAGUAACAAUGUUCUUUUUGAAAGCAUUUAGGGUAUAGCUAUAGAAGUUCAUUCAACAAAACAGAACUUUAUCAAGUUGGAAAGCUCCUUUCUCUUUAUCCCUAAAUUUUUCACUCAAUUUUGUUAUGGGUACAAACAGCACUGUGUUGAGGGUCAGAAUGGAGAGAGAUGAGAAAUGAUACUUCCAUGACUAUAUCCAAGAUCUCCACAGUUGGUUGUUGUAAGCGUAGAGAGGCUGUCUGUCAAAUCAUAGAUAUGAGGCCGGGCACAGUGGCUCACUCCUGUAAUCCCAGCACUUUGGGAGACUGAGGCAGGCGGAUCAUGAGAGGUGGGGAGUUCCAGAUCAGCCUGGCCAACGUGGUGAAAUCCUGUCUCUACUAAAAAUACAAAAUUAGCUGAGCAUGGUGGCGCGUGCCUGUAAUCCCAGCCACCUGGGAGGCUGAGGAGGCAGGAGAAUCACUUGAACCCUGGAAGCGGAGGUUGCAGUGAGCUGGGAUUGCGCCACUGCACUCCAGCCUGGGCGACAUAGUGAGACUCCAUCUCAAAAAAAAAAAGAAUCAUAGAAACGGACCCUAGUUUGGAAAUUCAUUCAUGUAAAUGAACUUCUCCCUGGUUUAUCCCCAGAGCUGUGAUUUAACACUAUUAUGCUGGGUUUACAGACCAAUUUGAACAUGCAUUUUCCUCUGCUUCUGCAUAGACUUACUAGAGAAGAGGUCACACCACUGCAUUCAGCCUGGGUGACAAAGCGAGACCUUAUCUCAAAAAAAAAAAAAAAAAUCAAAGAUCAAUCAACUAUAAAUUUAAUCUCUGUAAUAGAUAUAGGGCUAUUCAGGUUAUUUCUUCUUCAGUGAGUUUCAGUAGUUGGUGGGAAUUUGUCCAUUUCAUAUAAGUUGUCAAAUUUAUUGACAUACAGUUUUUGGUGAUAUUUGCUAUGGUCUGAAUAUCUCCCAAAAUUUGUAUGUUGAAACGUAAUUGCCAAUGUGGUAGUAAUAAGAGAUGGGGCUUUUAGGAGGUGAUAAAGUCACGAGGGUAGAGCCGUUAUGGAUGGAACUGGGGCCCUUACAAAGGGUUUGAGGGAAUGGGUUCAUUCUCAUCACCAUGUGAGCACACAGCGUUCAUCCCCCAUGCCCUUCCAUGUUCCGCCUUCUACCAUGUGGAGAUGUAUUAAUGACAAGAAGGACCUCACCAGACACUGAAUGCCAGCACCUUGAUCUUGGACUUCCCAGUCUCCAGAACUGUGAUGGGAUCAUUAGAAGCCGAAAUCUCAGCAUCACGCAAUCUACCCGUGUGACAAACCUGCACAUGUACCCCCUCAACAAUCUAAAAUUAACAAAGAAGAAGUAUACUCACCUAAAUUGGUACCACCCCUGCUCUGUAACACAGUGUUCCCUAAGAAGAAAUCCUCCUAGCACUGGGCCUGGCCAAAUUGACAAGACACCAAGUUUGAUUUGGGAAGACAUACAUAGAGAUGCAGUUUGCUUCUUCUAAAAACUUGGUCUUGGCCAGGCAUGGUGGCUCUCACCUAUAAUCCCACCAAUUUGAGAGGCUGAGGCGGACAGAUCACUUGAGGUCAGGAGUUCAAGACCAGCCU